GGGGAAUUUUGGACAAUGGGCGCAAGCCUGAUCCAGCCAUGCCGCGUGCGGGAAGAAGGCCUUCGGGUUGUAAACCGCUUUUGUCGGGGAAGAAAUCUUCUGAGCUAAUAUCUCGGGAGGAUGACGGUACCCGAAGAAUAAGCACCGGCUAACUACGUGCCAGCAGCCGCGGUAAUACGUAGGGUGCGAGCGUUAAUCGGAAUUACUGGGCGUAAAGCGUGCGCAGGCGGUCUUGCAAGACAGGUGUGAAAUCCCCGGGCUUAACCUGGGAACUGCACUUGUGACUGCAAGGCUGGAGUACGGCAGAGGGGGAUGGAAUUCCGCGUGUAGCAGUGAAAUGCGUAGAUAUGCGGAGGAACACCGAUGGCGAAGGCAGUCCCCUGGGCCUGUACUGACGCUCAUGCACGAAAGCGUGGGGAGCAAAC
rnacentral:rRNA from 1 species